ACGGCGAGUGAAGCGGGAAGAGCUCAAAUUUGAAAUCUUCAAGGUUCUACCUUGACGAAUUGUAGUUUAAAGAAGUGUUUUCUGUUAGAGGAGCAGCAAAAGUUCCUUGGAAUGGGACAUCAUAGAGGGUGAGAAUCCCGUAUUUGGUUAUUCUUUCUAGCUUUGUGAUACACUUUCAAAGAGUCGGAUUGUUUGGGAAUGCAGUCCAAAAUGGGUGGUAAAUUUCAUCUAAAGCUAAAUAUUGGCGAGAGACCGAUAGCGAACAAGUACCGUGAGGGAAAGAUGAAAAGAACUUUGAAAAGAGAGUUAAACAGCACGUGAAAUUGUCAAAAGGGAAGCGUUUGACACCAGUGUUGUUUUUCCGAAAAUCAAUUACGAAUGGCUUGAUUUUGUGUUGUAUUGACCUUAUCAGCUUUCUUCACUCUUUUUCGAGUCUUUCUUAAUGCACUUUUCGGUUAACAAGUCAACAUCAAUUUCUUUUGUUGUAAAAGGGUAUUUGGAAGGUGGCUUUCUUUUCGGAGAAAGUGUUUAUAGCCUUAUACCUCUACAAUCGGAGAGAUUGAGGUCUGCAGCGUAGAUCCUUCGGGGCUAGAUACACUUGUGCUAAGUUAUAGCUUUUCAUAGACAACUUGUUGACUAUGUUUAGUCAUGUAGCUUACCCGCUUGUGCUAUUUUACCUACGCUUAGGAUGUUGACAAAAUGGUUUUAAACGACCCGUCUUGAAACACGGACC
rnacentral:rRNA from 1 species